CACCACAAGUAGCUGAAGCUGCCAGCAUGAUCUGAUCAUAUCCUGGAUCUGUGCGUUGUAUGGAUCUCCACAGGGAGAAAAAAAACUCAGAUCAUCUGGCAGUUUCAUCUGCUGAUGGG
rnacentral:pre_miRNA from 1 species